CCUACGGGGCGCAGCAGUGAGGAAUAUUGGUCAAUGGACGAGAGUCUGAACCAGCCAAGUAGCGUGAAGGAUGACUGCCCUAUGGGUUGUAAACUUCUUUUAUAUGGGAAUAAAAUGUUCCACGUGUGGGAUUUUGUAUGUACCAUAUGAAUAAGGAUCGGCUAACUCCGUGCCAGCAGCCGCGGUAAUACGGAGGAUCCGAGCGUUAUCCGGAUUUAUUGGGUUUAAAGGGAGCGUAGGUGGAUUGUUAAGUCAGUUGUGAAAGUUUGCGGCUCAACCGUAAAAUUGCAGUUGAAACUGGCAGUCUUGAGUACAGUAGAGGUGUGCGGAAUUCGUGGUGUAGCGGUGAAAUGCUUAGAUAUCACGAAGAACUCCGAUUGCGAAGGCAGUUCACUGGACUGCAACUGACACUGAGGCUCGAAAGUGUGGGUAUCAAACAGGAUUAGAUAACCGAGUAGUC
rnacentral:rRNA from 1 species